UCCCGUGCGCUCCAUCCGUCUUGGAAUACCUCCUGCCCCCCUCUUUGAUAGGCGAGAAUGCGACUCACGAUGGACUUGGUGCGUCUCGCGCCGCAGUUCACCAACACGAUGCUACAGCGUGAAAUCGACCUUCGCGGGCUGCGGAUUUCCUCGCUCGAUGAGCACGUACUGGUGCUGCUCGAGAACAACUUCGAUGUCGUAAACCUUUCCUCCAACGCCCUGACGGCGCUAGAGUACUUUCCCACGACGUGUGCAGCCGGCAACAGCGACAAGGAUGUGAGGAUGAGCCGCGUCACCACCCUCGUUGCCCACCGAAACGAAAUUCAGCGCGUGAGUGUGACUUCGUGCGUGUCUGCGUUGCCCAACGUCGUGCACUUCUUGGCCGACCGCAACCGCCUCGCCUGCGUGCGCGAUCUCUACUUUUUGAAGCAGUGGAAGAAGCUGGAGGUGGUGUCGCUCGAGGACAAUCCUGUGUGGGAGACCAACAGCAACAAUUUUGAUAGCGAGAAACUGCGGGCGUUUCUCGUCUUCUUGUGCCCUAGGUUGAAGCUCAUCAACUACCAGCGCGUUACACAGGCUGAUAGAGAGCGUGCACAGAAGGCGAAGGACGAGUUCAAGAAGCUGGUGCUGUCGUGGGAAGCUCCACUUACACUGAGUACAGUGACACGGUCGCAGUCGUCAUCCACCGUAGACGCAAAGAAGACGCGCAAGCGCGGUCGCGAGGGCCGCACAGCGGCGGCCGCCGCAGUAUCAAGCAACGCGGACACUCUCGAUGGUGAGCCUGGCAGCGGCACAACGAGCGCGACCCCUGCCGCCGCCGAUGUGAACGAGGACGACGAUGCCGCUCUUCAAGCACGUCUAGACCAGCUGGAGAAGCGUCUCCUAUCCGACGAUGUCACGGCGGAGGAAAUCGCGGAGUUGGAGGAGGAGAUGACGGAGAUAUCGGAAAGGAUGGCAGCUGCGCGUAAGCGGAAGCGCCAUUAGCGUGUCAUUCUCUUUUUUUGUGUGAUGGCGAGUUAAGUUUGCGUGCGUGUUGCCCGUCUGUGUGCUACGCACGAGUCGCGGUGCAGCGAAAGAGGCCACCGCGCGCCUGUCAUGCGCGGCGACUGGGUGGUGCCCUGUUUUCUCAUGCCCUACAGCACCGUGUAUGACGAAACGCGUUUCAUCUGCGCAGCCGCAGAGACUACCCGGUGCACCUUCGCAAAUGAGCAGAGCAUCGCGUCUUCUUGUUCCGCCGCCGCCCUACCACGUUCCAGGUUGUAUUGCACUGCGCAGCCGAGAGGUUUCUUUGACAGGCGAACCCCUCCCCCCCAAAAAAAAACGUCCCGUUGCCCCGCUCGCUGUGUGCUGAGCCAGUCACCCCUUUUCUCUGUGCUACGAUGGCCUCGACAACGAUGGGGUGAUAUACCUCCCCCGUGCGGCACCACAGAUGAUCUUGCCUGCACACACUCGUCUAGUUCUUCUCCAUUCCCUUUUCUCUCGCGGGGUACGUUGAUCCGCCUCUUUCGACCACACGUCCACUGGGGGUGGGGUCGGCAAG
rnacentral:misc_RNA from 1 species